GAUGAACGCUGGCGGCGUGCCUAAUACACGCAAGUCGAGCGAACAGACGAGGAGCUUGCUCCUCUGACGUUAGCGGCGGACGGGUGAGUAACACGUGGAUAACCUACCUAUAAGACUGGGAUAACUUCGGGAAACCGGAGCUAAUACCGGAUAAUAUAUUGAACCGCAUGGUUCAAUAGUGAAAGACGGUUUUGCUGUCACUUAUAGAUGGAUCCGCGCCGCAUUAGCUAGUUGGUAAGGUAACGGCUUACCAAGGCAACGAUGCGUAGCCGACCUGAGAGGGUGAUCGGCCACACUGGAACUGAGACACGGUCCAGACUCCUACGGGAGGCAGCAGUAGGGAAUCUUCCGCAAUGGGCGAAAGCCUGACGGAGCAACGCCGCGUGAGUGAUGAAGGUCUUCGGAUCGUAAAACUCUGUUAUUAGGGAAGAACAAAUGUGUAAGUAACUAUGCACGUCUUGACGGUACCUAAUCAGAAAGCCACGGCUAACUACGU
rnacentral:rRNA from 1 species